rnacentral:rRNA from 1 species
AGAGAGAAGCUUGCUUCUCUUGAGAGCGGCGGACGGGUGAGUAAUGCCUAGGAAUCUGCCUGGUAGUGGGGGAUAACGCUCGGAAACGGACGCUAAUACCGCAUACGUCCUACGGGAGAAAGCAGGGGACCUUCGGGCCUUGCGCUAUCAGAUGAGCCUAGGUCGGAUUAGCUAGUUGGUGAGGUAAUGGCUCACCAAGGCGACGAUCCGUAACUGGUCUGAGAGGAUGAUCAGUCACACUGGAACUGAGACACGGUCCAGACUCCUACGGGAGGCAGCAGUGGGGAAUAUUGGACAAUGGGCGAAAGCCUGAUCCAGCCAUGCCGCGUGUGUGAAGAAGGUCUUCGGAUUGUAAAGCACUUUAAGUUGGGAGGAAGGGCAGUAACCUAAUACGUUAUUGUUUUGACGUUACCGACAGAAUAAGCACCGGCUAACUCUGUGCCAGCAGCCGCGGUAAUACAGAGGGUGCAAGCGUUAAUCGGAAUUACUGGGCGUAAAGCGCGCGUAGGUGGUUUGUUAAGUUGAAUGUGAAAUCCCCGGGCUCAACCUGGGAACUGCAUCCAAAACUGGCAAGCUAGAGUAGGGCAGAGGGUGGUGGAAUUUCCUGUGUAGCGGUGAAAUGCGUAGAUAUAGGAAGGAACACCAGUGGCGAAGGCGACCACCUGGGCUCAUACUGACACUGAGGUGCGAAAGCGUGGGGAGCAAACAGGAUUAGAUACCCUGGUAGUCCACGCCGUAAACGAUGUCAACUAGCCGUUGGAAUCCUUGAGAUUUUAGUGGCGCAGCUAACGCAUUAAGUUGACCGCCUGGGGAGUACGGCCGCAAGGUUAAAACUCAAAUGAAUUGAC